rnacentral:lncRNA from 1 species
CCUCAGUCAGCAUUAUCAAUCACAUAUAAACAAGCAAAACGAUAAUUUAUGCCAAACAGACAACAUAUAGCAUCAAUAUCCCGGUCAUUCAAUCCAUAAUCAAUAAAACAGUAAAAUAUGCACACGAAACUAUAAAAUGAAAACAUCGAACCUCAUGCUGCAUUUAAAACUGUAAAACAGGCCAAAUAACAGUUAACCGACAAACACACUAGACUCGGGCUCCAUUAGCGACCUUAAGCAAUUUCACACAUUCGUUGAUUCAUGAAAUAUCGUUUUAUCAUUUAUUGGACUUUAAAACCGUGAUAGGAAAUAGGGUGAGGGGUCCUUACUCGUUUCGGGGUCCGAACACGGCUUCACAGUGCGCUUGCAGGCUGUCCCUAAUUUUCCCUGAAUUUUUCUCGGAGAACUGAAACGCACUACUGGUACCUGCACGUGUUCCAAAAAAUCCCAAAUUAGGCACAGGGCCCCUUUCGGCCAAUAUCGCAACUCCGGCACGGCGGCUCUGCCGUGCUCCGGCGACGGCACCGCCGCUGGCGGCGGCGAUUCACCUCGGGUUGGCUGUUUUCGGCCACACUUGCAUCGAUCCUUGCGAUUAAACAACUCUAAGGCCCUCGAGGGGCCAAAAAAUAAUGGAAAAUCGA